rnacentral:rRNA from 1 species
GAUGAACGCUGGCGGCGUGCCUAAUACAUGUAAGUCGAGCGAACAGAUAAGGAGCUUGCUCCUUUGACGUUAGCGGCGGACGGGUGAGUAACACGUGGGUAACCUACCUAUAAGACUGGGAUAACUUCGGGAAACCGGAGCUAAUACCGGAUAACAUUUGGAACCGCAUGGUUCUAAAGUGAAAGGUGGUUUUGCUAUCACUUAUAGAUGGACCCGCGCCGUAUUAGCUAGUUGGUAAGGUAACGGCUUACCAAGGCAACGAUACGUAGCCGACCUGAGAGGGUGAUCGGCCACACUGGAACUGAGACACGGUCCAGACUCCUACGGGAGGCAGCAGUAGGGAAUCUUCCGCAAUGGGCGAAAGCCUGACGGAGCAACGCCGCGUGAGUGAUGAAGGGUUUCGGCUCGUAAAACUCUGUUAUUAGGGAAGAACAAACGUGUAAGUAACUGUGCACGUCUUGACGGUACCUAAUCAGAAAGCCACGGCUAACUACGUG